rnacentral:rRNA from 1 species
AACGUCCCAGUUCGGAUUGUAGCCUGCAACCCGGCUACAUGAGGCUGGAAUCGCUAGUAAUCGCAGAUCAGAAUGCUGCGGUGAAUACGUUCCCGGGUCUUGUACACACCGCCCGUCACACCAUGGGAGCCGGGAAUGCCCGAAGUCGGUGACCCAACCGUAAGGAGGGAGCCGCCGAAGGCAGGCCUGGUAACUGGGGUGAAGUCGUAACAAGGUAAC